CCUACGGGGGGCUGCAGUAGGGAAUAUUGCGCAAUGGGGGAAACCCUGACGCAGCGACGCCGCGUGAGUGAUGAAGGCCUUUCUGGUUGUAAAGCUCUGUAAGGAGGGAAGAAUGUCAGGCAGUAAUGUGUCUGAGUGACGGUACCUCCGGAGUAAGGACCGGCUAAAUACGUGCCAGCAGCCGCGGUAAUACGUAUGGUCCUAGCGUUGUCCGGAAUAACUGGGCGUAAAGGGUGUGUAGGCGGAUAUCCGUGUCAGGUGUGAAAUCCCCCGGCUUAACUGGGGCAUUGCGCUUGAAACUGGAUAUCUGGAGCGUGUCAGGGGUAAGCGGAAUUCCCGGAGUAGCGGUGAAAUGCGUAGAUAUCGGGAAGAACACCGGUGGCGAAGGCGGCUUACUGGGACAUGGCUGACGCUGAGGCACGAAAGCGUGGGGAGCGAACGGGCUUAGAUACCCCAGUAGUC
rnacentral:rRNA from 1 species